rnacentral:tRNA from 1 species
GGGGAUGUGGCUCAGUGGUAGAGCGCUCACCUUGCAUACGUGAGGCACUGGGUUCGAUCCUCAGCCCCA